AAUGGGAUUUCCUGAAUUUCCUGAUGGUUGCGUCCUUUCUCUGAAGGAUCAAACUCCGGUGAAGUUCUUGGGACGAUAUAAUGCAAACAUUUGGUCACUUAGCAGGGGGCUCAACAAGACGUGCUAGUUGAUAUGGUUGCAUAAAGUCAUUCUUACAAGCAGAGAUUGGUACACCUUAUCAACACAACUACGCAUUUUGGAGUCAUGUUACAUGAAAGAAGAGGAGAAGAGGCAUAAUUCAUCAUUUUGGCUACGCUAGGUGCUAAUGGAUUUGAAGCCAAGGCAGUCACACUUAUUAAUCGGGGUAGCCACCUGCUGUGAUAAGG